CCCGCUGAACUUAAGCAUAUCAAUAAGCGGAGGAAAAGAAACUAACCAGGAUUCCCCUAGUAACGGCGAGUGAAGCGGGAAGAGCUCAAAUUUGAAAUCUGGCGGUCUUUCGGCCGUCCGAGUUGUAGUCUGGAGAAGCGUCUUCCGCGCCGGACCGUGUACAAGUCUCUUGGAAUAGAGCGUCAUAGAGGGUGAGAAUCCCGUCUUUGACACGGACCGCCGGCGCUUUUGUGAUGCGCUCUCGAAGAGUCGAGUUGUUUGGGAAUGCAGCUCAAAACGGGUGGUAAAUUCCAUCUAAAGCUAAAUACAGGCGAAAGACCGAUAGUGAACAAGUACCGUGAGGGAAAGAUGAAAAGAACUUUGGAAAGAGAGUUAAAAAGUACGUGAAAUUGUUGAAAGGGAAACGCUUGAAGUCAGUCACAUUGGCCAGGGAUCAACUUGCUUAAGUGUACUUCCUGGUUGAUGGGCCAACAUCAGCUUUGACUGUCAGAGAAGGGUAGGGGGAAUGUGGCACCCUCCUGGGUGUGUUAUAGCCCUCUGUCAUAUAUGGCCGUUGGGGCUGAGGAAUGCAGCGCGCCACAAGGCCGGGUUUUGACCACGUUCGCGCUUAGGAUGUUGGCAUAAUGGCUUUAAUCGACCCGUCUUGAAACACGG
rnacentral:rRNA from 1 species